AUGGCUUAUGUUGUUUCUUUCCCUUCUCUAAGUGAUUUUCCCCCCAGCAACAUCAUACUCAGAGAUCCUGAAAGAAUGGCUCUAUAUUGGCAGAAUUUUGGAGUCAUUGCAAGCUUCUUGGGGGUGUGGAGAUUCAGCCACGCUUCCAUGAGACUACUGGUGACACUCCAUCUGUCAGAUCUCAAAUUGACAGAAGUGAUAAGGGUAGGAGACUGGAGUAGUUCUUCCAGAGUUAUUUUGCUUCUUGAUGACAGCGAAGGAAAAAUAUGGGCAACAAAAUUGAGAGUCUUUACUUUCUGACCCCUGCUCUCAGCUGAAGGAGAGAAGCUCUGGGAGACCUAAGUGUCAACCAGGAUGGCUACAGUAUUGAAAGUCUGUGUGUCUAUGUUGGAUGUUCACUGGGUUUAACAGAACUUAAAAGAUGCCUGCAGACAAACUGAUUUGCAGUAAGAUCUAAAAUCCAUCCAAGGGAUAACCUUUGGGGAAUGAACUGUAAGGCUUGAAUAGGUCCUAAAUUGUACACAGAGUAACAUUAUCAUUUACUAUUGGUACUCACAAAGUACCAACAGGUACUCUGACAUGACAAAUGCUUACAGUUUUGGUUCAGAUCUGCUUCAUAAAUAUUUACUGAUUACUGAGUGAGGCACUGUGGGAGAUGUGGCUCUGCAGUAAUGUGACUGAUUUUUAAAAACUAUGAAUUCCUAAAUCAUAUCUUCAAGUAUGUGCUCUUCUUUCAGAGGUUAAGUGUUUUUCAAAGAUGUUUUCUCUGCUCAAAAAUUUCCUACCUCCUUAGAGCUUGCUUUCAACCUGUAGGAUAUUUGAAAAAUAUAUGCAUACUUAAGAUACAUCUAAGCAUAUGUGUUUAAUUCUUAGAAUUAGCCAGAAGUUAUUUGGUACCAAGUCCUAUGAAUGUGGUAGGAAGUCAACGGAUGAUAUUUUGUUACUUGAAAUGAUGUGUGACUGUGGAACAGAGUCUGAGUUUUUGGAGAAGGUUUAUUAAUUUCAAAGGAGGGGUUCCACUGAUACUGUGUGAAAUGCAGUAGAAUUGCAAUUGCAAUUGCAUUGGUGCUUCUCACAAUGACUCUGAAGGAAAAUCCUCUUUUCAAUAAGAGUUCUGAUGUGUUCAUAAAAAGUUCUAACUUCCUAGCUAGAGAGCCACACCUGAAAAUGACUGUUAACCUUUAGGAAUCUUCUGCAUUUUCAGAAGGUGAUGUGGAAACAAGUGUGUUAAGGAGCAGGAAUUGGCAUUCAUCACUUGGUGCUGAAGCAGGGCUGAGGUGAUCAUAUGAUGCAGUCAGGA
rnacentral:lncRNA from 1 species